UAAUCAUAUGCUUGUCUCAAAGAUUAAGCCAUGCAUGUCUAAGUACAAGCCGCGUACGCGGCGAGACUGCGGACGGCUCAUUAAAUCGGUUAUGAAUCCACUGGGGCCAGACUCACCCGUGGAUAACGUGCGGUAACUCCGGUGCUAAUACAUGCAACARGGCUCCGACCCCGUCUUCGGGCGGGGGAAGGGCGCACUUAUUAGGCGAAAACCAAUGGCUCGGCCUCGCGCCGAGCGUUGGUGGACGACACCCGAGUAAUUGCCGCCGAUCGCACGGCCUCAGCGCCGGCGACGCCUUCACUGAGUUUCUGAUCUAUCAUGCUGUCGACGGUUGGUGCUAUGCCAACCGUGGCGUUGACGGAUAACAGAGAAUCUGGGUUCGAUUCUGGAGAGGCCGCAUGAGAAACGGCGACCACUUCCAAGGAAGGCAGCAGGCACGCAAAUUACCCACUUCGGACACCGAGAGGUAGUGACGAACAAUACCGAUGCGGCGCACUUAUGUGUCGCCGUAAUCGGAAUGAGUACACUUCAAAUCCUUUAACGAGGAUCNACUU
rnacentral:rRNA from 1 species